rnacentral:rRNA from 1 species
UGGGGAAUAUUGCACAAUGGGCGCAAGCCUGAUGCAGCAACGCCGCGUGAACGAUGAAGGUCUUCGGAUCGUAAAGUUCUGUUGCAGGGGAAGAUAAUGACGGUAACCGGAGAAGAAGCCCCGGCUAACUUCGUGCCAGCAGCCGCGGUAAUACGAAGGGGGCUAGCGUUGUUCGGAUUUACUGGGCGUAAAGCGCACGUAGGCGGACUUUUAAGUCAGGGGUGAAAUCCCGGGGCUCAACCCCGGAACUGCCUUUGAUACUGGAAGUCGUGAGUAUGGUAGAGGUGAGUGGAAUUCCGAGUGUAGAGGUGAAAUUCGUAGAUAUUCGGAGGAAAACCAGUGGCGAAGGCGGCUCACUGGACCAUUACUGACGAUGAGGUGCGAAAGCGUGGGGAGCAAACAGG